rnacentral:rRNA from 1 species
GACGUAGGGCGCGAGCGUUGUCCGGAUUUAUUGGGCGUAAAGAGCUCGUAGGCGGCUCGUUGCGUCGGCUGUGAAAACCCGCAGCUCAACUGUGGGCUUGCAGCUGAUACGGGCGGGCUGGAGUUCGGUAGGGGAGACUGGAAUUCCUGGUGUAGCGGUGGAAUGCGUAGAUAUCGAGAGGAACACCUGCGGCGAAGGCGGGUUGCUGGGCCGACACUGACGCUGAGGUGCGAAAGCGUGGGGAGCAAACAGG